rnacentral:rRNA from 1 species
CCUUAUCCAGGGCUUGACAUGCACGGAUUAUUGAUCCGAAAGGUGAUAAACGCUCUCUGAGUGGAACGUGCACAGGUGCUGCAUGGCUGUCGUCAGCUCGUGCUGUGAAGUGUCGGGUUAAGUCCCUUAACGAGCGAAACCCCUAUCCCUAGUUGCCAGCGAGUCAUGUCGGGGACUCUAGGGAGGCUGCCGGCGUCAAGCCGGAGGAAGGUGGGGAUGACGUCAAGUCCUCAUGGCCUUUAUGCCCUGGGCUGCACACGUGCUACAAUGAAAAUUACAAUAAGUUACAAAAAAAUAAAAAUUUUAGUUAAUCUUUCAAAAAUUUUCGUAGUUCGAAUUAUAAACUGAAACUCGUUUAUAUGAAGCUGGAAUCGAUAGUAAUCGCAAAUCAUAAUGUUGCGGUGAAUAUGUACACUGGUCUUGCACACACCGCCCGUCACAUCCGAAGAAUCAGUUUUGCUUGAAGAUUUUUAAAAAUCCACUUGAAAAAUUAAUAAUUGGGAUGAAGUCGUAACAAGGUAGCC